AUUUACUUUGCUUUACAUUCACUGAGUUCUCUUAGCUGAGUUCAGUCUACUGUGGGUGACCCCAUCAAAGGCAUUCUUCAUUUCUAUUUAAGAUGGUGUAAGGGUCCGGCGAACGUCGGAGGGAGAGACCACCAAGAGACCGCGGCUCAUGCAACAGCAAAAGGGGGUUUAUUUAUUGAGGAUCCAAUCCAGAGCGCUGGGGCUCCGUGCUCACUCAAGAAAGGAGAGCAGCCCAGAGCCCAGAGCAGGGGUUGUGCAAUGCUUAAGUACACUUUUUGGGGAGGGCGGGACUUUACAUACAUCACAGUCUCCUUUAACAAAUCAUCAUACACCGCGGGAAAAUCAAACAACAAUUCUGAGACAUGAUUAGUUCAUUCAUUGGUGGGAACAGGUAGGGCGGGGGUGAUAGGUCAGUUCUAAAGCAGGGUACACAUUCAAACUGAUUGGUCCAGGCCCUGCGAUGCCUACGUGCAAGGCCACACAGGGCCCUAAGUUAUUAAACAACCAGGCGGUCAGGGGGAAUAUUUACUGGGCAGUUCGAGUAUUGUCUUAACAGCUACAGGAAUUUCAGGUUUUGCAUGUAGCAUAGGAACUUAACAAUACCUGGUCCUUUACAUUUUAACUCAGGCCUUGCAGCUGAGAAACUUUACAAUGCCUGGUCUUUUACACUUUAACUUCAAUUUCUUUUACCCUUACAAUGGGAUUAGAAAGAAAGGUGGAACAAGGUAGAGGGAGACAAAGAGUAGGUCUUUGUUAUAGCAAAUACAUGGGUGAUUCACAAAGAUCACUCCUUUCCUCCCUCCUCUGAGGUGGAACACAUCUUUCUUUUAUCAUCACGAUAAAAACAUGGCAGAACUUCUGGUGACAAAGCAGACUAACAUGGGUCCUCAGUGGUUCCUCAUCCUCACGCUAAUCUGCACUCAGCCUCUAGGAAUUCUUCAAGAUUACCAUUCCAGUUCUUCUGCUGGUUAAUGGAUCCAACAACCUCUUCUCCAGGUUGUGACUCUCUGGAUUCUUCUCUCUCUCUAGAGCCCAGGAUAGCAGCUGACCUUGUGACCUCUCUUCUCUGAUGGGUCCAAGACUAGUUACUGAUAUUCAGUUCAUUCAGUUUAUUUCCCAUGGAAAGAUUGGUAAAAAGGAUUUCCAAGCUCUUAUGUAGCAAGUUUGAGCCUGAAAGUGUCCUAUAUGCUAUUUAAAACUAAGAUUCUUAAAUAGAAUAAAUGAUUUAAAACCUAAUUGUACAUACAUAUCCUUAUCUUAUGUAUGAUACAUAACAAAUAGUAGUAUUGACUUGGCAUGGUGAUGCGCAUCUGUAAUCCCAGCUUUCUGAGAGGCUGAGGCAGAAAAAUAGCAAAUUCACGGUCAGGCUGAGCAACUUAGGGAGAACCUGUCUCAAAAAAAAAAAAUUAAAAUUGCUGGGAGUACAACCCAGUGGUACAGUGACCCUGGGCAAUUAUGAAGUAAUGAACUAUGAACACUCACGUAUUCAAAUGGUCCGCAAUGGUCACUCCCUGCUCCUCUGAAGCUCUUCUCAACUUUACCUCCAUUGUACACAGCAUGUGUGCAGGUGUGUGCACCUAUAUCUAAGUGCACAUGCUUAAAGGAUGCCAUCAUAUUUAGCCCAUGAAUGGUAAUCAUUCAGUUUAUUUCUUAUGGUAAGAUUGAGAGAAAACUUGUCAUGUCAGCAUGAGAGUGGCCCCUCUUCCAUUAAGAGGUUUUACUUCCUAGGAAGUAAGACUUAUCCCUGCCCCAAUGGAGCAUGGAAUAGGUUUGGUCCUUGGAUAAACAAGGGAUUGAGUACCUUUUGUUAAAGCCAAAAUAAGGGCAAUUAGGUGCUAGAACCUACAAACAAAACAACAGGGAUGAUGAGGGAAAACAGAAUGGUGUUUAUCAGCACCCAAGCAAGUGAACUAAAGAAAAGAAAAUUAUACCUAUUCUGCCCAGGAUCUGGUACUCAGGUGCAUCUAUGGUGAGACAAGCAUAAUUCUUGGAUUUAAACAAAAAAUAAAAAAAUGUCCAGAACAUCCUGUCAGACAUUAUAAAACAUAACAGCAAGUAAAAUUUAUAGAGUGUUUAGUAUGUCUCAGAAUCUGCAGUUCUCAAUAUUGACCUACAUGGCCUUAAUGUCCCUCUCAGAUUGACUAACAGGUUUCUUCCUGGUGACAGGCCCUGACCUGUUUUCUUAGAGCAUUUACUUUAGAAAACUUCUAAUUGUAAAUUCUUUCUAUGCCCCCUUGGAAUGUAAAUCUCCCCACAUCUUGCUAGUUUUACAACCCAGAAAUGGCCUUUUCAAGGACUUGGGAGCCAUCCUGUGAAAUAGAAUCACAGAGGAAGUGGUGUCCCUCUCUCUCUGUCUCUGCACAAGGGUAGUAAUCGCACUCCUAUGGGCACCAAGGCCAAAGAACAGGUGGCCUGACUGACCAACCUGUCCCCUAAUGUCCUUCAGUUCUUUCCCACUAUCUCAUCCCAGCACUUGCAAAAUGUCCCAUAUUUAUGUUGCAACACAACUCACAUCAAUCCCACCCCUAUUACAUUAGACUUGAAUUGAGUCUUCUUUGCCUGAUUAACUCCAUCUGAAACAUUUUUUUUAUUUGAAAUUUAAUGUAAUUUGAAAUUUAAUGUAAUUUGAAAUUUAAUGUAAAUUGUAUCUAAAAGAGAAAAUAAGAUAGAAAAAAUAAAUUAAAAACUCAUAAUUUCCAAAACAAUGGAAUAAAUGUAACUGUAGUGAUAGAUAAAGAGGUUUUACUUCAUAGGAAGAAAGACUUGUUCAUGUGCCUUGGGCAUGUGAGAACUCAGUGCAGUUGGAAAGUGAGAGGGAGAGGUAUAGGUGAAGAUCUAGGGGUGCUAUGUGUGUUCAGGAAAUGAGAAGUUCAGGCCGGCUUGAGAUGAAUAUGCAAGGCUAAAGUAGGUUCAAAGGUCACAGGAACAUCAUGUAAGUAAUGUGAAGCAUUUGAGGAGAAAACAUCAGCCACUAGGAGACUGGCCAAAAAGUUCCUAAGAAAUAAUAUUGUUCUAAUUACAGAAAUGUCAGCUUAGAUGGAAAUUUAAGAACAGAGUCAGAUAACAUAUAUAUUAGAGGUAGAAUCAGCGUGCUGUUAUUUUAAUGAAUUUGGGCAGUAAGAAGAUAGAGGAAAGAUACCAGGACACUCCCUCUCCUUUGGAGGCUGUUAUUUUGCAUGACAGGUAAAUGCUGAUGGUAUCAGGAGCUGGCUCAGGGCCCUGUUGGUGUCCUGCAUAUCCUUUCACUGUGGUCCAGACAUCAGAGGUGUGCUGUAUGUAGCACAGGAUGAAGUGAGUGGGAAACCAGUGAGAACCUUUGUGAAUUGAUGAGCGCCUUGGUGAGAACAGCUAAACCCAGGAAUUAUAACAGCAAGGUCUGGAUUCAACAGACACAUCUGCUAAUUGUUUUAAGAAAAGCAAUUAGUAACAUUGGUUGCUGGAGAAGAGAAUAAAGAUAAGCUACAUCAAUUAAAUAUCUAUGAUAUUCCAGGCAACUCUAAGCUCACACUUUUAUAACCCACAAAGUCGCUUUUGUGUUAAUACUAAAAAUUGGAAAUCGAGGUACACUGAGUCACACACUUGUAUCUGAAUCCCCGGUAGGCCACGCUGAAUGUGAAAUUUUGGGUAAGCCACUUAAUCUCUUUUAUGCCAAAGGCUUUUUCCUCCUCUCUAUAUUAUAUCAUUUCCUUUUUCUAUAUCUCUAGAGUUUCCUUUUCUCUUAAUACGAGCUCUGGGCAUAGAGGGGGGAAAAAAAAAAAGAUGUGCACUUAGAAAAUUUGACCUGGCAGCUUAAGUAAUUUGCCCAAGGUCAUUCAGUGAAUCAGUGGUAGAUAUAAGGGUAAGAAGCUAUAAUUCCUACUCUAAUUUCCUGCCUGAACCAUUAGAUAGCUCCAUCUGUUUUGAUUCCAUCAUUAAUAUGAAGUCAUAUUUCUGUCUCUUAAUAGAAAUGAACUGAUCUACUGACUAAAAGUGGAAGGUGAAAAGAAUUUCCAUAGCUUUGAAUGCAGAAGUAUUCUUAACAAAUGCAACUUUGAAGGUGGUUCUGUUAUACAGUUAAAUAAAUUUUAAGAGACUUUAUACUGCUGGUCUUUAUACUUGUGAUAAAAGAAAAACAAAGUUCUCAUUAACAUGAGUCUUAAAUGAACAUUUUUAUGCUAAAUAUUAAGUUAAGCUUUUGAUAUGUUGUGGCAACAUUUUGAAAUGAUGAAGCAUUCAUUAAUGCCUGCUUAAGUUAAAAGUAACACCACAUUAAUUUGAUCUGAUUAAUGUUCACACAAUGCACAAAGAUACAUUGAUAAUGACUGGCCACUUUUCUUAAGUGUUAACCAGCAUAUUAAUAUAUAGUAAAUGAAUUGGAUAGCCUGUGUAAUGCCACUGUUCAUUAUUAAUUCAGUUAAUUAAAUGUGUGUCAGACAAAUCAUUAAUAACUUGAUAAUUCACUUGUAUUGGAUAUUAUCAAAUCCUUUCAAUAUUAUAAAUCCAAGAGAAAGUGAAACUACAAAUUUAAAGGUUUCAUGUCUGCAAUACUUAUUUUUCAAGACUAGGCAUAAAGAAUUCCUUUAUUCGAAAGGAGGAGAUAAAUAAGGAUGUUUAGCACAUACUUGCAAACUUAAAAAUAUUAUGCAAGCAUUCACUUUUUUUAAAGUUGUAGAUGGACAAAUACCUUUAAUUUGUUGAUUUAUGUUUAUGUGGUACUGUGCUGCAGUCCGGCUGCAGCAAAAUAACGGGGGGUGAGGAACAACUUGUGUACAUUGAUACAGCAGGAGUGGAAGCCGUUUAUUGUAGGACAACAGAGGUAUUUAUACAUUCCACACAGCUUAUCUUAAUUAGCAUAAACUAGAUACAGCAGUCAACCAAUAAGAAAUCUCCACACUUAAUGGCUUGCUGGCGUUACUUCACAAACCACUCCCUCUGGCAAAAUGCCAGGCGCCAUCCUGACUUGUUUACAGACUCUAACAUUUGCCAGGCGCCAUCCUGACUUGUUUACAGACUCUAACAGUACUGAGGAUCCAACCCAGUGCCUCACAUGUGUGAAGUAAGCGCUCUACUGCUGAGCCAAAACCCCAGCCCCAUAAGCAUUCAUUAUUAUUGACAUUAAUUCAAACUUAUUUAUAUAGAUUUAAUGUCAGCUUUUUUAUAAUUCUGAGCAAAUCUUUAUAUUUCAUGUCAUUGACAUAGGUCAUCAAAUAAUUUGAAUUUUAUUUCUCCAAAUUGCUUAUCCACAUAACAUAUUCCACAUACACUCUACAUCAUUAUUUUACCUGUCAGUUGCCUUUAAAUGCUAUGUAAGUACCAGUUAGUACCAGUUGUAGAUGAAUAUAAACUUGCAGAGAGAAAAAAUGAGGAUUUGGAUUCCUUAAAAUGGUUUUCAAAAUAGGUCAAUUGCUUACUUCAUUGGAUAUUGGAAUCUAAUAUGGGGUUUGCCUACAUGAGGUAGGGGCUGGAGACGUGGGUAUUGUCAGUGCAUAGCUGCUAUUAAAAGUCUGUUGUGAAAAAGCUGCUACUGGGUUUAAUCAGAUGAGGACAGACAACAGACCAUUCAUGUCAGGGUCCACUAUGCCAUAUGUUUCUAUGGAUGUGUUUACAUUAUAAUUACAUCCCUUUUCCUGUUCUUAGAAACUAAAUAUUUUUUGGAUUAGAUUCAAAAAGGACAUGUAUGGAAUGCUAUACACAGGCUUUGAGCUCAUUACUAUAUAUCCUCCUGAGAACAGAUGGUAGACCUCAGGCCCUGUUACUACUCUAAUGUAUUCCUACCAUCCCUUGAUAUAGGGACAGCAGUAAUGGUAGAGUAAAUUUCCCAUGACUCCAAGGCAAAUGUUUAGCAGGCGAGGACAAAUUCACAUAUUUUUUCUUUUAUUUUCUUUGCAAACAUUGCAAAAAGAGUCAUCAAAGUAUCUACUAAAAAGUAUAUUCCUAUUAUGAAUACAGAAACUGUUGAAAUUACUGUAAGGCACUUCUCUUUAGAUAGAAAAUCAACACAACAGCCAAGUGAAGUUCAGGUACCUGUAAUAAUCAUUUCUCACAACAGGGCCUACCCAUGAAGUCAUGAGUUUUGUUAUCAAUGUUAUGUUCUGUUAAAAAGUGUAAUCCCAGCUUGUAUACAAAUAUGCCUCUUUGGAUUUUUGAUCUAAUACUCACAACAACAGAUUAUGAAAUGUUUCUUAUGGUUUACAAUUUGAACACAUUUAAAGUGAAGGUCCAAGUCUUCAUGUAAUGUCAGCCUUAAGCAUCUAAAUUUUUUCUUCAAAAUGAUACCAUGUACUAUAUUUUUUGCUAUGUAGCAUGAAAUAGUUAUGUAUUUUAGAGAUAUUAUUUAAAAGAAAAAAAACUCUAUUGUAGAUAUAAAAAAGUGCUUUAUAUAAAAUUUUGCAAGUGGUAAAACAACAAUAAAAGUGUAAAGUAGAAUUGAAGAGUUAAAACUAUGUUGUCACCAAAGGUUACUGAAAGACUUUAACAUAUUGGCUAGGGCAUUAUGAUUAACUAAAUGGUGCUUUGUUUUUCCAAAGCUUUAUCUGCCAUGAGAGAAGAAAAUUUCCGACUGGAGUUUGAAACAAGAAUAUAAAAUAGUGAAGUCAGAGUCGUAGCUCUGGAGCCUGACUUGAAAUGGCAGUUUGACCACCUUACUCAGACCACUUAUUAAAUGAUGAUAGAGUGAGUUGGAGGAUGUUCUCCAGAGAUACUGAAGCAGGGUCUGUAAUGAAGGCUUCCUAGGAGGAUCUGCACUUUUAACAACUUCAGCAAAUGAUGGUGAUGCAUGGUGGAGUUUGAGAGUGACCCUUCUGGAGAUGCUUAUUAUACAGCAUUGCACAUGCGGUACAAUUAAUUUAAUGGUACUCACUGAAGUGAAACUUGAAACUCAUCAGAUAAUUUUCUAUUUAUUCUAGUGUCAUACUUGAUGAGGCUCACUGCCUCUUCAUUAGUGAAUGGUUUAAACAAAUAUUUAUUUCGCGCAUAAUACGUGUCUGGCAAUGUUUUAGCCACAGAAUAAUAAAAAUGAACAAAAGAGACAAAUUUCCUGUUUUUGUGGAAGUUCCAUUUUAAUGGUGAGGAGAAAUGGAGAUAAAUACAUAGAAAACAAUGAGUUUUUGAUCAAGAUGGAUAAGACUUAUGAAGAAACUAAAAAACAGCAUUCAAGAGCCAUAACUAAACACGUCUGAAGUCCAAUAAACAGCCAAAAAAUAAACACUGGUCUGAAAGCACCAAACCAUCAUCUUUCCCUAAUCUCUAUGGCCUGCUCCCAGUGUCAAGUAAAAGAAGAUUCAUUUAUAGGUGUGCGGAUUAAACGUUAACCCUACAUCAGCAAGAGCAAGGGGCAAAAGGAGCACAAGUGGGAUGAUUUCACCCCAAGACCCUGGGGACAUUGUAACCAGGAGGUGGCAAGGCUGCCUUUGCUAAUAACAGUAGCUUUUUACCUAGACCGGCAGAAGUCCUGUGGGUGAGCCAAAGCCACAUGAUGCUCUGCAUCUUUGCCUCCGUUUGCAUCUGCCUCCUGUAAACUGCACGCUGGGUCAUGUCCCUGCUCACCUCUACAUGUUCCCAUAUUAAUUAUUUAAGGAGUGUCUAUCUAAAAACUAGUAAUAUGCGGUUAAUUAUCCCUAAAUUUACCUGGCCCGUCCCAUCCCCCUUGAAGACUGAGGCAAGGACCGCAGGGUUCUGUUUCGGUGUCCUGCAGUGGGGUCUAGACUCUCCAGUCAUCCCUCCCCUCCAGGAUCCAAACUCGGAGAGAUAAACAUCCAGAGCAACAAAUAGAGCUUUUCCCCUCAAAGGGAUCUUUAUCCCUUUUUCCUGCCAUCUAGCAGAAGCAGAACCGAGAGAAUGAUUAGCCAGACCACAGUUGGACCAGGACCACUAAGUUGAGCCUCAGGCCCCUUCCCCAGUUCUUCUCUACGUAAACCUGAAACUCCUGUCAACAUGCCAACACCCACCAUGGCCAUACUCACUAUGUUCCCUUUCCUGCUUUUCAACAUUUUCUUUUCUGCUUGGUGGCUGGACCUGCUUGGUGGGGACUACCAGAAUCAGUCCUCUGGCCUAGGACAGUAACAACAUGAGAGUUCUUGUUCUAGCACCACGCUGUAGAUGCUUUGAGACUUCCAGGAGACCAACAGAUUUCUUCAUCUAAAGAGUAGGAGCAAUGCUUCUGAACCUGUUUAGCUUAUGGUGCAGCUUGUAGAAUUCAUUUUCGAUCCAGAACGACAGUCAAAAAAAGGUGUGAAGCUAGCUCAUCCCCAACAUCACUGUUCUCUGCAAUCUGUGCUAUGCUUCUCUCAUCAGAAGGAGUGGCUGUUGGUCUGGGUGGCUUGCUGUUCGUGUGACACAGACACCCAUCUCUGAGGAAUCAGAACUCCUAUUCUUUGCACAUGUCUCAGUCUGUGGCUGUACCUUCUGCUUAUUUAUUUCAAAAUGAGGCAAGGGAGUACCAAAGGAUGGGCCAAUGUAUUGCUUCCAUGGUAAGCAAAUCUGUCCAUGCGCCAAUUAUAUAAUAGGUGUUAUGGUUUGGAUGUGAGGUGUCCCCCAAAAGCUCAUGUGUGAGACAAGGCAAGAAGGUUCAGAGGAAAAAUGAUUGGGUUGUAAGAGUCUUAACCUAAUCAGUGUUUUAAUCCCCUGAUAGGGAUUAACUGAGAGGUAACUGAAGUGGUAGGGUAUGGCUGGAGGAGGUCAGAAUUAGGGUGUGGCUUUGGGUAUAUAUUUGUAUCUGGCAAGUAGAGUUUCUCUUUCUGCUUCCUGAGCACCUUGAUGUGAGUUGCUACCCUCUGCCACUCUCUACUGCCAUGAUACUCUGUCUCACCUUGAGUGUGGGGGAAAGCCAGCCUUCUAUGGACUAAGACCUCUGGAACUGUAAGUCCUCAAAUAAACUAUCCUUCUUCUUUAAUGGUGCCAGUUGGGUCCUUUAGUCCCAGAAGCAAAAAAGCUGACUUAAACAAUAAGAAUCUUAAUUCCUCUGAAUGACAGAAAAGUCAUUUCUUUCUGCCCCAAUGAAAACUAAAUGGACGCUUAGCAUGAGGAAUCUGAAGCCCUGCAGUAGGAGCUGUAGUUUUUAUUUUAAUAAAACUCUUGCUAUUUCUCUAGUGAAAGCAUUUCCCCCUGGGGAAACUAAAAAUCUCUAGACUUGCAUACUCCAGAACUAAAGGAAGAGGAAUUAUAAAUUCCCUAAAUGGGUCACUGGGAAACAGUGCUACCCAUCUUUCGCCCAAGUGGUUUCUAGAAUUAUAGAUUCUACCUAGUAGGAUCUUCCUGUCAUUUUAAGGUCAUUGUGUUAACAUGAUCAAUCUCUAAGAAAAUGCCAAACUCCUUUCAAUCAGGCAAAUAUUCUGGGUGGGAUAGAAUGUUAUAAAAUCAGUGGUCACCUGGUGAUCAAUCUAUUUGCAUAUAUUCUUGGCUAAAAAUAGAGUCGUUUUUCCUUAUGUUAUAUUAAGUGGUAUCCAUGCUUAGACAUCAAACACUGUGAGCCCCCAUAGUAAGACUGAUCCAAACUUUGCAAAAGAAAGGCAAAUCUAUAUCCAGAAUAUUACUUUCAAAAUAUUGUUCUUCCUUCCAUGGUGAAGGGUUUCCAUAUAGUCAGCUUGUCACAAGUUGGCCUGUUGGUCUACAUGACGGCUAAGGAUGUGGCAGUGACUCAGCCUUCGUCCUUUCCUGGAGUUUGGGCUUGUGGAAGCAUCGUGAAUAAGUAUGAACCCAUGGUCUUGGAUCCACAUGAAGCUUCUGUUCUUGUCACCAUGGUUUCACAGUCCAUGCAUCCAUCAAGCCAUCACUAACCUGACCGAUGGCAGCAAGAACAGCUGAUGUCAAAAAAAGGACCAAGUCAUUCCAUGUACCUGAUCUUUUGGAUAACUCUUUAUCAUGGAGGGUCCCUGGUAGUUACUAUCAAGUAGACCAAAGAUCUACUCAUUAUGGGCUCUUUCUCACAGUUUUACUUUCACUUUUCUUCUGGAGGAUUCCUAAAAAUUCAACAUAUCUCCUUCCCAGCCUCUGAACAGAGGAACCCUUGAUCAUUCUGAACAAAUGCAGAAUCUUGGGAUGCUUCUUCUUCUUUUUUUUUAAUACAUUGUAAAUUGUAGGAAUCAUGAAUUUCCUAAAUGUGUCACUGGGAAACAGUGCUACCCAUCUUUCCCCCAAGUGGUUUCUAGAAUUAAAGUUUCUACCUAUUAGGAUCCUCCUGUCAUUUUAAGGUCAUUGUGUUAACAUGUACAAUAUCUGAGAAAACGGCAAACUCCUUCAGUCAGACCAGCAGAUUCUGGGUGGGAUAGAAUGUUAUAAAAUCAGUGGGUCACCCGGUGAUCAAUCUGCCCACUAGAAAUUUUUAUCUUUAUCGUGGCAUUUCAAAGCCACCCCUGAGUAGGGCUGUAAUGUACUCACUAUCCCUUUUUAGGCAACCUGUCUGUAAAUCAUUCUUUCAUUGCAUGUUGUCAAAAGAUAUCUCUUUCUUAGACAUUAGAAGCAGCUGAAGAAUAAACUUUGGCACAGCAAUGCCAUGGGGUUCUGGGACAACCAUUUAUAUAAUUUCCUGAUGCUUCCUGGUCUGUGUUCUGAUGCUUGUCGUUAUGGUCUCCAAUUUGGUCUUGAGUUAUAAAAACCCAUAAUCCAAGAUAACCACUAUCCUUCUGCAUAGGAGAGAGGAGAGGGAGUUAGAUUGAGAAUUGUCAAUCCGGGAGACACAACAAGGGUGAAACUAAAAUUUAUGAAACAAAAGACACUUAUGAUUGACAGAUUCUCAUGAGUUUAGUGGUGUGGUGGGUGCUGAGGGGAGAUCUGAAGGUAUGGGGUCCCUCAACCAGUGCACAGGGGAGAAAUGGUGAGUGAGAGAGAGAGAGGGGGGGGGAGAGAGAGAGAGAGAGAGAGAACACAGAGGAUCUGAGAGCUAUGCCUUUAGUAAGGUCCAUCAUUAUAUCUUUGGCUUUGCCCUGAUAGUUAUAGGUAGGGUUUUAUCGUGGUUUUAGCAGUCAUUUCUUAGGACUUCAAAACACAUCAGCAUCAUUUUUUUAACGGUAUGUAGUGUGCUAGAGAUGACAUAGCUUUGCCCCAGAAAUUCAGAUACCUGUUUCAGAUUUUUCCAGUGAACUUCUGAGAAACGUGGGUCUUUCUGCAUCAUUAGUGUUUCUGCCAUCACAGUGUCUACUGAGGCACAAGGCACAAGGGGCAGUGCUGCUGGAAGAACAAUGUGAACAUACUGCAGUCUUCCUCCUAGAGACUCACUAAAACCUGGAAACCAGCCAGGAGCAGUGGCGCAAGCCUGUGAUCCCAGCAACUCUGGAGGUUUUGUCAGGAAGGAGGAUUGGUAGUUCAAAGCCAGCCUCAGCAAAAGCAAAGUGCUAAGCAACUCAGUGGGACCCUGUUUCUAAAUAAAAUACAAAAUAGGGCUGGGGAUGGGGAUGUGAUUUCAUGGCCAAGUGUCCCUGAGUUCAAUCCCUGGUACACCACCAGCCCCCAACCCCCCCCCCCAAAAAAAAUUGGAAGCCUUUUGUGUCUUCUAGUAUGUAGGCCAGGGGAAAACUCACAGGUGUGGUGUGGAAUAUGCUGACCAGAACCUGGAGAGACCUGAUAAGAUCAGAUGCUAAAAUCAGCUUUCCCUGGCCCACAACUGAUCUUAUCAGUACUUAUGAUAAUUGGGUGUUCUUAUUUUUAACAGUUAAGCACUGUCACUUGUCUUAUGUGGUCUUAGAGUUCUCUCAUCCCCAUUAGUAUCCAUGAGACCAGUUUUAUAAAGACAUCUUUGCCAUCCCUGGUCUAGCAAGUGAAGCAACCAUGAACUUCUUGGAGAAGUUAGUGCUCUUCUCACUAGCAGAUUCUUUAUUGAUUUGGUGUGGUAUGAUGUGUCCUCUGAGUUCUCCAGAGCAUCGUUCUCUGAUUGUUUUUUCCAGCCUUAUUAAAUAGUCCUCCAACCAUGAUUAUGCCUUUGAGUCUCUUAAUCCUUUUAUACCUGUCUGCCAUGCAAAUUUUGGUAUUCUAAGUCCUUCAUGUAGUAUUUUUCUAUGCUGUAGGAACCAUCCUAGAAGCAUGUUCCCACCAUCCCUUGUAGGAUGGCUAAUUGUUAAAUCAUGUAUUCUCAGAGAGUGAUCUCAAAUCAAUUACACUCCUUUAAUCGGUCAAACAUUCUAGAAUCUGAUCCAUGCAUAGAUUUCCAAAUGUGUUUGCAUGUACUGAGUUGUUCCUAGAGCUCAUUUGAAGUAUAGCACAUGGUGGUUUCUGUCAGAUCUAGUGUGGAACCUUGCCAGAUUAUGUUAUAGAUAAACUUAAGGGAAAGUAGAGACACACCCCAAAAAAGGUGUACAUUGUCUAGUGGAGGAGGCUUAUACACUGUCUAGGAGACAAGGAAAUGCCAGUUCAUGAUAAGUUGAAUCAGUGAGUUCUUCCACAGCCACAGAAGAUUCUGGGUAACCUAAGGAGGCAGGAUUUUCAUGUGCACUUAUGUGUCUCCAUUUCAAGCAAAGUUCUGGUGUUGGUAAAGCAGAUCUCUCAGUCUGAGAAUUCAAAACUCUUUAAAGUUUUCCUGUUCUUAAAAUUAAUUCUUGGACCUGAACAUCCACUUUCCCUACCCUUUUGGAUAAAAAGAUUGAGAUAUUCUUUAUAUAUUACCAAAAAGUACUCUGGUUAUUGUAGUUGGCUUUUAGUUUCUUAUUGAACAAUCUCAGAUUUUCAUAACUCUUAGAAUUUGAAUGGAGUUUAGUAAUAGGUACAGAACUCCACUAUUUCUAUAGAAGUCUUUUCUCCACAUUGUUCAAAUAUCAGGCAUAUGUGACAGCUAAUCACAUGGAUUCCACUCCAGUUUACUGCCAUGAGUGAGAAUGUCAACAGUGUGACUUAUGCCAGGGGUUUCUUUGUUCUCUAAGCAUUGGUGAUGGUGUACAUGCUGCCAGCUGAUAAUGGAUGAUCCAGCUCUAAAACCCCUCCUUGCAUGUGUGUGCUCAGAUUCCUUGCACCAGCUUUGACAGGUUGCAUCCGGUGAACUGCCAACUCUAACAUGGCAUGUAUGGAGGCUUAUUAGGGAGAAUUCUUGGGAUAGAUACCUGUGUAUACAAAUUAAAGGAAGAGGCAUCACAGAGGAGAAGGUGAGCUGGGAUGCAGUCUCAAGGAUGCUCAGCCAACUCUGUGAGAAGAUGAUACUUUUCAGGGAAAAGAAGCCCGGCCUUUAUACUCCAAUGAAGAUCAGUCAGCAUGGAAGAGUGACUUUAAAGGAUAUGGCUCCCCCCGCCACACCCCACAAUGGAGAUAGCCCCACAACCAGGACAGUUGUGAGCUGUCUUCUAGCAGUGCUCAUAGUAGUUGAAAGAAAAAAAUCCUUUUAUUCUGAGGGUCUGGAGAAUGCAUCAUAACAUUUACUACAAUUGGAAGCUAGAAAAUUUAAAAAGAAAGAAAGAAAGAUAGAAAGAACAAAUAAACAAACUAUAAUCACAACAAAAACUAAAAUCCUCAAACAGCCAUAAUGGGUUGAGAUAUAGGAGGUAUUUAUAGAUUGGAGGUCAGGUGACUUUCAAGAGCAUUUACCAUGUGAGUAAAAGAGCAAACUUCACACCCCAUUAAUAAAGUUUAUUUUGUUAUUAAGGUAAUAAUGGGGGCUUAUACAAAGUUUAAACAAGGAACUGCUCUGGUGCAGUGUUCAUUCUCCAUUUUCAUUGACUACUUUCUCUUCUAUAAGUAUACUUAUAGAAGAAAUAAUAAAAAAAAUAGUAGAAGAUCUCUAUGUCUUAGAUUAUUUAUUAUGUAAUAUCAAUAUAUUUAGAUAAACAGUAUAUGUGUAGGGACAGAAGUUCUAAAAGAUGAAUUAUAAAGUAUAUUCAAAUUAUUAUUCAAAAAACACUUCCUUUUAAUAUAUAUGAUUGGGAAUUUCACUCAUGGAUGAAAAAUUCAAAUAUUCUAAAAUUGCUUAGUGAAUUGAUAGUUGAUAAUGAACAAAUAAUCAUAUUUUUCAAAAUAAAGAGGCUUAUAUGCAAGUGCUUGGAAAAUACCAUCCAUGGUGCAGAUGAAUAAUUGCAUAAUACGUACAGGCAAUAUGUAGGUUUGUUGCCUUCUUUUCAUCUUUAUUUUCAUCUUUCUUUCCUUCCUCUCUAUUUCUUCCUUCUUCUCUUUAUUACUUCCUCUCCUUCUACCUCCUUUUCCUUUUUUUUUUCUUUUUUGGUGGUGCUGGGGAUUGAACCCAGGACCUCGAGCAUGUGAGGCAAGCACUUUACCAACUGAGCUAAAUCCCCAGUCCACUACCUUCUUUUUUACCUCUGACAGAAAUCCUGUGAAGUGCCACUGAAAAUUCUGAUGUGGAAAAAUAAAUAUUUUAGGAAUCUGAGUUCUAAAUCAAGCAUCUUAGGGAUUCAGUCAGUGCUGCUGGUAAGCAGGUUAAGACUUAGAAAUAAGAAGGUGGUCAUAAGAAAUGAGCAGCUGGCUAAGUAGUUAGGAGGGAAGAUAUGGACUUCUUGUUUUACACUAUGGAUUUGAUACCAAAUGACAAACUUAUACCUAUAGUUCAAGGAUAUUUCAUAGGAUGAUAAGACAGCUGUUAACAUCAGGAAACACAGAGAUAUAGCUAAAAUUAUAAUAAUAAUACACCAAAUUAGCAUUUAUUAAUUCUUAUUAUGUUAAAACUUCAAAUUUACUAUGUAUUUAACAUUUAUCUCAUCAAUAAAGUACUAUAAAAUCUAUGUUUUACUGGAAUGUAGUGGAAUCUUAGAAUAGAUUUCUAAGUUAAUGAAAGACAGAAUAUAAAUGGGAGAUUUUAAAUUCAAACUCAGGCAUAACAGACUUCAAAGUAGUUCUCUCUCCUUAGGUGCUGUGGCAUUCUUUCUGCCUGUAUACAGGCCUCAUACACAUGGAAAAUUAAUUCCUGUAAAAACACUGUUCAGUAAAAAUUUAAAAUAUAUGGCACAGUUAAAUGCUGAUGCAAAAAAUCACUUAUUUAUGAAAAAACAAAAUUUGCUUUGUGAAUAUAAGACAAAUCCAGACUUAAACACUCAUAGCAAUGAUUAUUAAUACUGUAGCAAUGGGUGCACACAUACACACUCACAUGCACCAUACCAUGAGAUGGGAUUCUGUUAAAAUAUUUACAAACUCACUAGCGAUUUCUUCUAGUAUGUUGUCAUAAUUAUAAUAUUUGUAAAUCAAUCUCAAAACAAAGAGAUAAAUAUAACUAAGAGAAACCACUGAGAUUUAGAAAGAUGAAGACUGCAAUGAGGAUAACAAAGUGCAGUGCAGUGAGUUUGGGUGACGAUGAGAAGGCAGAGGUCAUUGAAUCUGAGGGGGCAACUCUGAGUUCAGGUCAGGAAAAAAGGGUUCUGAGCUCUACCUUUAUAAUCAAGCAACGGAGCAUCGUAACUGUGGCAGGAACUUGGCUCUGUGAAUGGCUUCAGUUUGGGACGCAUUUUUUUUAAAAAAAUGUCCUUCUAACACUGUUGGCAAUGAGGAGGCAGAAUAACCGAGAGAAUGAGAAAAUUCAUCAUAGGAAUAAAGAUGAUGGGUGAGGAAAUUGAACAUAAGAAAGUAUUUGCCCUAGAAAUUUAGUGCAGUAACAGACAGAAUAUAAUUGAAUUAUUUCUGUCAUUAAGAAAUUAACAUCUUUGUAAGCAUGAAAUUCACAGAUAAUGCAAUUUAUUCUUUUGAGCACUAAAGCAUGGACAUGUAUCCAUUUGUUAUAUUCAUUUACAUAUACACUACAGAUUUGUGACAUUUUUAUUCAACUAUGAUUUUAUUGAACAUGUUUUGUGAACUCAGUCUCAGAAGGAAUAUUAGCACACUGUAUCGAUAAGUAUUGCUACCACAAGUUACUGUCUGAUUCAUAAGUUGUUACGAUACACAUAUGGUGAAGCUUCAUUUAAAUUUUUUUUUCUUAGAAAGCUUUUUUUGAAGACAAUUAUUUUACAUUGAAGAACUUUAUUUUUUUUCUAAUUAUUGUCAUUUAAUUUCUUUUUAGAGAUAUGGAUUUAGUAAAAUGUGAAAUUAGAUAAUUUCAGGGUGUUUGAGGUUCAAUAAUCAAGAAGUAGUAUCUACUGAACUUCAAGAAAUCCACGCUCUUUGGCCCUCAUGUGAUUGGAAGCCUAGAAGUGGCCCUUCUCUCACCAGCUCAUCCCAAUGCCAAAGCCACCAGAAAGAAGAGCAAUAAGCAGUACACCAGAGAACAUCUAUGGGACAAUGGCUAAUGAGCAUUGAAGAGAAACUUGGUCUGAGAAAAAGAUUGCCAUCGAUUGUUUUAUAAUUUAUUAUUAGGAAUAAGUCAUUAUGACAUUCCUUACACCAAAAGGUGCUGUGAUUUUUAAAUGUAUUAUAUUUAAAUAACAGCCAAAUAGGACACAGAGUAAGUAUAAGCCUAAAGGACUAACUAUUGGGACCAGAGCCCUGGUGACAUCAUUUCUGAGUCUUCAAACCACCAAGAAAGUAAGUUACAACUUCUUAAAUAUUACAUUUUGAAUUGGCUAUCAUACACAUAAUAUUAUGACAGCUGGAGGUAUUAUUAAUACUAUUGUAUGAAAACUAGAAAUAAUUACAGUAAAAUAGGACAAUAAUUAUGAUAAAAUCAUACCAUCUUCUGAAUCACAAUUAAUUUCUAAGGGAGAGAUUAGUAAUGUUAUUUUUAGAGGGUUGCUAUCUAACUAGACAGAAGCUGCUACCCACCUAUGGGAUGCAGAAAUUUGUAAAUGCUCUGGACUCUCAGGAAAAAAAAAAAUCACUUAGGAAGAUUACACUGCAUUCAGCAUCACCUCUAGCACACGCCUUCUCUAUACCAAGAAGGACAUUAGCUCCCCAGAAUGCUGUAGCAUGUGCUGGGAAUGCAGCACUUUGAAAUAAGGAGAAACUGGUGAAUGUAGCCUGAGCUGGAUUCCUUCUCCUUCUGGACAUAGAUGUUCUUCUGUGCUUCAACCGAGCAAGCGUGCAGCCCUGGGGUAUAACACCCAGGGAGUGCUGCUUUGUGGGUUCCUUCAGCUGUGGUAUUGUGGGGACCACCCAGAAGGGACCCCAUCCAUCCUUAGCAGCUUUCCUGAGCCUUGAGGUUUGGGUUUGUUACAAGCCCUGGGCUUCUGCUGUCCUGUGCUGUGUAUCUGGAAGUCAUAGCCUGCAUCCUGUGAUGUGCAUGUUCAUGUGAUUGGGCAAGUGGUAACAGCGUAGCCCAAGAUGCUGUGAGUUGAAGUGGCUGCCAGUGCACAGUGAACCUACAUCCCAUCAAGUUUAUAGAAAGAGUAAAUAUUUUUGGCUUCUUGCAGCGGGGGGUGGAGAGAGAGAGGUGUUCUGGGCAUUGAACCCAGGGACACUCAACCACUAAGCCAUUUCCCCAGCCCAUGAAAAGUACAUUUAAAAUUUUGAAAGAUCUAUAGUCUGUCUGAACUACCCAACUCUGCUAAUAUAGAAGAAAGGUACCCAUGGGCAAUACAUAAAUAAAUAAUUGCAGCUGUGUUCAAGCUAAACUUUUUUUUAUAAAAACAUUUUGUGGGUGUGCUUUAAUCUCAAGACCACAGUUUGCCUAUUCCUGUUCUGGAAAAAAAAAUAUAUGUAAUAUUAUAUCAAAAAUAAAAUGAAAAUUAAGAAAAACUAAAUACAGGAAAUGUGAAAGAGAACUAUUAAUUGAUAGUCAGCCUCUAUUGUCCUUUUGAUACCUGAAAGGGUUGACUGUCAAAGUUUUUAUGAAGAAUAAGUUUCCCGUGUAUUUUGUCUUUUCCUCCAAGUAAAACCAAACUUCCAGGUAUCAGUGGAAGGAGCCACUUUAUGUAACUGUUUUGAACUGUUAGAAUUUGGGGGGUUCCUCCCCUGGAAUGGUGGAGCGACAGGGGCAGACCUGUCCUCACGCCGACCCGCUAGACAAGACUAGCACUGCGGUCUGAAUGCCGGGCAGCUAAUGGUGAGGGAAGUCAAACCCUGAAGGAAGGCAGUGCUGGGGUAGGCUUGCUGCGUGGUGUCUUUAAGUUCUGUGGAGGACUGGGCACAGAAAGGACGGCUGGGACAAUGAACACAGAACUCAGGGCUUCCAGCCUGAGGACAUGGAGGGCAGCUGGGGCAGCAGACAGCACUUCUGUUACACAAUGACCAGGGGAUCAGGAAGAGGGGCAGCCAAAUGAAGGAGUUCCUCGUUCUGUCCACAAGCUAUGAGGUGUCUCUAACUUUCUUGGGAACCAUGUGUGUAAGGGAGAGAUUUCAGUCACAGAGAGAAUGAGCCUAGGAUUUGAGUAGUUGCCUAUGUGACAAAAACAGAUGUUUGCUAAAACAGGCAACAACCACAACAAAUCAACAAUUUUUGAGCCAGGCACCAUGGCACACGCCUGUAAUCCCAUUUGCUCAGGAGGCUGAGGCAGGAGGAACACAAGUUCAUAACCAGCCUCAGCAAUGGCGAGGCACUAAACAACGCAGUGAGACCCUGUCUCUAAUAAAAUACAAAACAGGGCUGGGGAUGUGGCUCAGUAGUCGAGUGCCCCUGGGUUAAAUCCCUGGUAAAAAGAUCAACAAUUUUUUAGAGAAACAUCAUCUGCACAAUUUCCAGGAUAUAAUCCAGUUAUAGUACAUAAAAAUAAUUAGGGACAUGCCACAUAUUCCAGAAAAAUAAUGCUUGAUUUAAAAAAUAAUCAAGCAGAAUAUCAUUAAGACAUGGAUGAUGUAAUAUUAGACAACUUGACCUGCUUGAUAUUUACAGAAUAUAUCCUUAGUAGCAACAGCAAAUUAAUUCCACAUAAAGAUAAAGGCAAAAAAACAAUAAAAUAGGAAAUGAACCACUAAUAUAGAAUAAUUCAAUAAGGAAAAAUUUAUUUGACUGUUAAAAAUUGACAAAAUUUAUAAACCACUAACUUGACAAAUCAAAAAAUGAGAAAGGAUGAAGACAAAUCACCAACACAAUCCAGACAUUUAGAAUAAUAAGUCAACAUCAUGAACAACUUUCUGUCAGCAACUUCAACAUGUAGAUUAAAGAGACAAAUUCCUUAAAAAAUACAACUUACCAAAACUGACAGGAAACAAAAAAAGACAAAAUCUGAAUAAUGUUAUAGCUAAUAAAUAAAUUUAGUCUAUUAUCGUAAACCUUUCAAACCUGAUGAUAUCAAAACCUGAUGGUGAAUUCUCUCAGGCACUUAAUGAAGUAGCAUGAAUGUUAUACAAAUCUUUCACAAAGCACAAAAAUGAGAGAACCUGUCCCAAAUCAUAAACAUAUGGAAUAAAAUCAUACCCAAGGCAUAUGAUGCCUCCAUGAACCACGAUGAAAAAUUAAUUGACAACAUUUGGGAAAGUCAAGUCAGCAAUAUGUAAAAAGGACAAUGCAUAAUAGUUGGUAGGUGUAUCACAAGACGUCAAGAUUGAGCUGUUUCCAGGAUGAAUUGAUGUAUUAAUAAAAUGAAGAAGAAAUGUACAAAUUAAGGUUAAUAAAUGCAAAGGAGGAUUCAACAAAAUUUUAGACUCAAAAUUAAAACUUGCAUUAAUUUAGUAAUAUGAGAAUUUUCCUCAACUUAAUAAAAAAUAAUUCAUGAAAAAUUUUCAGUUAGUACCACACUUAAUGUGGAAUAUUUGGUCACUUUUUCCCAAGCUGAGAACAAGAAUAAAGCCCCCACUUAUCAAUGCUAUGGAGAGCAGACAUAGAAAAAGGCAUGAAAUAGAAAUAAAAGCACCAAGGUAAAAAAGGAAAAAAGCAAAUUUACUGAAAAAGCGUAAAGUCUUAAGGAAUCUCUAGCACAUUAUUGGAAAUGACUAGUAAAGAUUGAUCUCAGGACAGAAGAUGAAUUAUAUAGAAAUCUAUCACAUUUUUAUAUAUUAUUAACAAAAAACUUUAGUGAAAUUUAACAAAUUCUAUUUGUAUUCUAUACAAAAAUAUAAAGAACAUAAAAAUAAGAAAUCAUGUGCCAAGAUUUCUAUACUAAAUUUACAAAACAUUUCUGAAAUAAAUGAAGAUCUGUAUAAAUAGUGCAAAAACCCAUCAUUGUAGAUUGUAAGACUCCACAUUUUAAGUCAGUAAUCCCUCCCAAAUUGAUCUACGAAUUUAAUCUAAUGCCUAAUCAAAAUCUUGGUAAUUUUUAAUAGCAAAUGACAGUCUGAUUUUAAGAUGCAAGGUCAUAGAAAUUCAAAGCAAAAUUGAAAGAAAUAAACUUAGAGGACUUUGAUUUGCUGUUUUCACUUCUCGACAUAAAGCUGCAGUGAUCUGGAGAAUAUGGUUUUUGCAGAGGAAUCCAUCUAGACAUAGGAAAAAAAAAACAAUUCAGGAAUAGAUCCGAUUCAUGGGGUUAUCUGAUUUUCAUUUGAGGCAGAGCAAUUAAAACCUUUCCAACAAAUGAUACAGAAGUUACCUGUGCUAUGCAUGAAAAUAGUAACAGUAAUAAUAAACUUGAUACCUAUUAUACAUUCUACAAUCUUAAUUGAGAUAGAAAUAGAUGGAUAGAUAAACCCCAAAAAUUAAAAAGAAAAACUUAAGACUGUAUUUUUUUAACUUGGAAGGGUUGGUCAGCAUUUCUUAGCCCAGUCACAGAAUAGAAAAAAGGCAAUUAGACUUUGUGAAAAUUAAAAUUUUUGCUAAUAGAACAAAAAAAUGGUGAAGCUGCAGUUGAUUUAAAAAUAUUCACAAUUCUUGGUUAUUGCUCAGUGGUAAAGUGGUUUUGCCCAGUCUAUGCAAGCUCUAGGAUCAAUCCUUGGCAUUGCAAAACAAUAAAAUAAAAUAAGUAGUACUCACAAAAAUACAUAAUUAAAACAUUAAAAAACUCAAUAAUAAAAAGGGGAAAAGAUUUGACCAGACGCAUCUUAAGUGUCAACAGUUUAAAAAAAAGGAACUACAUUGAAACAUUCACCAGAAUGGCUGAAAUAAAAAGAGAUUGACAAAAGGAAGUUUUGCAAAUACUUACAGCAACCAAAACGUCCACACACUUUGAUGUAAUUGCAAAGUUAAAUCCAAAGCUACUUUGGGAAAAAAUUUUGAGUUUUUAAUAAAACUCUACAUAUGCAUUCCCUAGGACUCAGCAGUUCUAACCCUAGGCAUAUACUCAAGAGAAAUGAAAGCCAAUGCCACAAAAAGCUGUGCAAGAAUAUAGCACCUCCUUCUCUAAUAGCCAAGAACGAGAAACAACCACGAUCCACAGAGGGAGAACUAACAGAGUGUUAUAUUUACACAGUGAUAUACAUAUAUUUUUUUAAUCAGCAGUAAGUAAAAUGGCUCCCACAGUCCGCCAAAAUGGAAGAUGGAAGAAUUUUUAAAAAUAGUCCACAAAGUGAAAGACACAUGUUUACAAAUAUAUAAACUGCUUGAUCUUGUAUUCAUAAAUUUCUUGAAUAGAUUAAUUGAUACAUAGCCGGAAUAUAUAUAUUUGCCUUUCUACUUUAUUUUCCAACUCUGAAAAUCUGAGUUAGAUAAAAUGAGUUUGGAAUGCUCUUCUGGGUAGCAGAGAUUGCAAAGGAAGGGACAAUAAGUGAUUAUUCUCACUACCUGAUGAUGCUCCACAUAUCAUUGGGGUUUACAUUAUGAAAGUGUGUGCUAAAACCCAGAGGAUGUAGUGUUGUAUACGUUUACAACCAAAAAGAGAAAACUAAAAAAUAUCAAAAGCUUUUCAAUGAUGCACACUCUGGAAUCUGAAGGGAAAAGUAUCUUCAACUUCUUUUGAAAUGCACCAGAAAAAGCAUAGAUUGGAUGAAUGGAUGGAGAGAUGAAUAAAAUAAAUCAUAAAUCAAAUAUAGAGCAAUGUUAAUGAUAAGGUGUUAAGGGUGGAUGUAGACACGUCUGGAGCAUUCUUUCCACUAUGAAUAUUUAUAAUAAAUGACAAUAGAUAAUAAACUAAUUACUGAGCAUUUGUUUUGUGAUUUUAGUUUGUUCUCACAGCCUCGAAUUUUGUCCUUUUUCAAGACUCAGUGGAAAGGUGUUGAAUUUAUAGCAGGAGCAUCAUAGAAACUCAUGUGCAGUUGUCUAAAGCCUCUUCUAUCCAUAGCUUUUUUUUUUUUAAUCUUUUUUUGUGGCUGAGAACACAGUAUUGAGUUUCAUUUUCAAAAACAUAAAAGCAGUAAAUACUCAUGGUCCUGGGUCUGGUUUUUGAAUGAAAGCUGUACCACUUUUCUUACUCAAUGGUAUGCAUUGGUAUAUGGGAAGGAAGAAUAUCUUUGAAUAUGCAUUAGGGAAAUUUUAUUUUUAAAAAAAUGAAUGAGAUCAUAAAUUAGUUUCCUUUGAAAAUUCAUUUAAUUGAUACCCUUUAAAAGCUAGAUAUGAUUUUAAUUGAGGAUCAUCUGCUGACAUAAAAACACAUCAAGAUCCUCAAUUAGUGUGGUGGCAGAUGCUUAUAAUCCCAGCAACUUGGGAAACUGAGACAGGAAAAUUGCAGAUUCAAGGCCCAGUCUCAGAAAUUUAGACAGGCCCUGAGCAAUUUUCAAGAUUGUUUCAAAAUUUAAAAAAAUCUCCACCCUUCAAAGUUGCAAAUAAUGAAAUAAAAUCAAGCUUUAAAGGCUACCUCAGGAGUGAUCAGGAAGGUUAUUCCACAGUGCCAUAAAGUAAUAACCAAAGUAGAUUUUGGAGUAUACUUUGCUGUUUAUACUCAGGUAUCUGCCAAAUGUCUGUUUUCAGAAAGAUAGUGCAAUUCCUUUGACUUAAAUUCCAAAUUUUUGGUCCCAGGAAAAUAAAUGGAACUGCAUUUUUAAAGAAGAAAUUACCACCUGUUCCAAUGCUGUCUGGGUUAAGCCAGUUGUUUUGAUAGAGACUCAGUCUCAUCAUUUUUCUCACAAAAUGGGGAAAAUAAUGAUCAUAAUAAAGUGUGGCUAUUGGAACUAAAUUUGAAAACAUGCUUGCAAUUUAAAAUGUA